rnacentral:tRNA from 1 species
GAGGGUGUAGCUCAGUGGUAGAGCACAUGCCUAGCAUGCACAAGGUCUUGGGUUCAAUCCCCGGCACCUCCA